rnacentral:tRNA from 1 species
UCGGAAGGUGCGGCUGGAUCACCUCCUUUCGAGAACGACUUAACUUUCCACCCAAGGUUCCCACACAAGACACCUGCAUAUCCAGAAAAUGACGCACGUCCCAACGGGGCUGUAGCUCAGCUGGGAGAGCACCGCGUUUGCAACGCGGGGGUCACCGGUUCGAUCCCGGUCAGCUCCACCAGAUCUAAGAUCUUUGGGUCUGUAGCUCAGGUGGUUAGAGCGCGCCCCUGAUAAGGGCGAGGUCGGUGGUUCGAGUCCUCCCAGACCCACCAACACUGGAUAUGGUCAGCGCACACGAAUUUUGAAGCAUCCAGACGUUGAGGUCUGGAUGUGUUCUUUGACAAUUUGGGACGUAACAAGCGUCUGAACUCUCACCGAGUUUAGAUGCGUCGUUGAGGCAAUUAGGCGAGUCUUGGCGUAUGACUUCGAGGUGACUUGGAGUUAUAUGAUCAAGCGAAUAAGCGUCUAC